rnacentral:rRNA from 1 species
UACGAAGGGGGCUAGCGUUGUUCGGAUUUACUGGGCGUAAAGCGCGUGUAGGCGGACUUGUAAGUUGGGGGUGAAAUCCCGAGGCUCAACCUCGGAACUGCCUCCAAAACUACAAGUCUGGAGCAAGAUAGAGGCAAGUGGAAUUGCGAGUGUAGAGGUGAAAUUCGUAGAUAUUCGCAGGAACACCAGUGGCGAAGGCGACUUGCUGGAUCUUUGGCUGACGCUGAGACGGCGAAAGCGUGGGGAGCAAACAGG